GAACGCGAAGAACCUUACCAGGUCUUGACAUCUGUAGAACCUUUACGAAAGUAGGGGGUGCCUUCGGGAGCUACAAGACAGGUGGUGCAUGGUUGUCGUCAGCUCGUGUCGUGAGAUGUUGGGUUAAGUCCCGCAACGAGCGCAACCCUUGCUAUUAGUUGCUAACAGGUUAAGCUGAGCACUCUAAUGGGACUGCCCGUGACAAGCGGGAGGAAGGUGGGGAUGACGUCAAAUCAUCAUGCCCUUUAUGAUCUGGGCUACACACGUGCUACAAUGGAUGGUACAGAGAGCAGCGAGGCCGCGAGGUGGAGCGAAUCUCAAAAAGCCAUUCUCAGUUCGGAUUGCAGUCUGCAACUCGACUGCAUGAAGUCGGAAUCGCUAGUAAUCGCGGAUCAGCACGUCGCGGUGAAUGCGUUCCCGGGCCUUGUACACACCG
rnacentral:rRNA from 1 species